AUAAUCCUUCGGGGCGGGGUGCAAUUCCCCACCGGCGGUGAUGAGGGUUUACCCUCUUAGUCCGUGACCCGCGUAUUCGUUUUUUAUUAAUAAGCGGCUGACCUAGUGUAAGUCUAGGACCGACAGUAAUAGUCUGGAUGGGAGAAGGAGAGC
rfam:Bacillus alcalophilus ATCC 27647 = CGMCC 1.3604 strain AV1934 contig00008, whole genome shotgun sequence.